AACGAACGCUGGCGGCAUGCCUAACACAUGCAAGUCGAACGAAACGUCCGGGUCUAGUGGCGCCCGGGGGCGUAACCGGUGGGAACAUGCACUUAUGGUCGGAAUAACUCCCCGAAAGGGGUGCUAUUACCGGAUAGGGUCUUCGGACCAAUGAUUUAUCGCACUUGAUUGUGCCCGCGUUGGAUGAGCUAGUUGUUAGGGUAAAAGCCUACCACGGCGACGAUUCAUAGCUUGUUAGAGAGGAUGGUCAGCCACACUGGGACUGAGAAACGGCCGAGACUCCUACGGGAGGCAGCAGUGGGUAAUGGUGGAAAAUGGGGGAAGGCAUGAACGUGCAAUGCCGGGAGAGUGAUGAAGGCCUUAGGGUUGUAAAGCUCUUUUACCCGGGAUGAUAAUGACGGUACCGGGAGAGUAAGCCCCGGCUAACUCCGUG
rnacentral:rRNA from 1 species